rnacentral:rRNA from 1 species
GACGAACGCUGGCGGCGUGCUUAACACAUGCAAGUCGAACGGAAAGGCCCUGCUUUUGUGGGGUGCUCGAGUGGCGAACGGGUGAGUAACACGUGAGUAACCUGCCCUUGACUUUGGGAUAACUUCAGGAAACUGGGGCUAAUACCGGAUAGGAGCUCCUGCUGCAUGGUGGGGGUUGGAAAGUUUCGGCGGUUGGGGAUGGACUCGCGGCUUAUCAGCUUGUUGGUGGGGUAGUGGCUUACCAAGGCUUUGACGGGUAGCCGGCCUGAGAGGGUGACCGGCCACAUUGGGACUGAGAUACGGACCAGACUCCUACGGGAGGCAGCAGGGGGGAAUAUGGCACAAUGGGCGGAAGCCUGAUGCAGCAACGCCGCGUGCGGGAUGACGGCCUUCGGGUUGUAAACCGCUUUCGCCUGUGACGAAGCGUGAGUGACGGUAAUGGGUAAAGAAGCACCGGCUAACUACGUG